rnacentral:lncRNA from 1 species
GUUCUGUAACACUUGUGACUCCACUUGCCUUAAGACUAUCUCUGCAAGUGGUCCUGCCAUUGGGCUGCAUAUUGGGAUUCCUAUAUUUUUUUAUAAUAUUUAUCUUUGUAGGUAAAGAAGGAUCUUGUGUACUAGAGAUGACAAAUCAAGAAAGGUAGCCAUUAUCAGGAAAGAACAGUAUAGGACCUCUUACAGGACUUUAUACAGAAAUCAGACUCAGAGGUUCUCAGGUUGGACCCUACCAUGAUGUUAAAUGCUAAAGUCAAUAGAAUAAUAAAGUCCAAGUAUUUUCCUUCCUUUUGGAAGGUCAGAUGUAUGAACAACUUCUAUGCUUCCACCCUAUUUGAGUACAUAAAAGCCCACAAGACACCGAUAUGUAUAAGAGCUAUGUUUGAUAAAACCUCAUCCCUGAUACAUCAAUUAGAAAAAGUGAUAGCAGCCUGUGCCACUCAACAACUUAAAGGUUACCGAUAAGUGAUAUCAUCAUUCCUUGAAUUUUGGAUAACUUGUUGGAAGUAGGGCCUCUUCCAGAGGAGUCAUAU